GCCCCGUUAGUUCAACUGGAUAGAACGUCAGCUUCCGGAGCUGAAGGUUGUAGGUUCAAGUCCUGCACGGGGUA
rnacentral:tRNA from 1 species